UACGUAGGGGGCAAGCGUUGUCCGGAUUUACUGGGCGUAAAGCGCGCGCAGGCGGUCUGAUCAGUCUGGGGUGAAAUCUCCCGGCUCAACUGGGAGCGGGCCCUGGAUACUGUCAGUCUCGAGAGAGCUAGAGGAGAGCGGAAUUCCCGGUGUAGUGGUGGAAUGCGUAGAUAUCGGGAAGAACACCAGUGGCGAAAGCGGCUCUCUGGGGGUUUUCUGACGCUGAGGCGCGAAAGCGUGGGGAGCGAACCGG
rnacentral:rRNA from 1 species